UAACAAUUAGGAGUGUUUCUGAGUAAUGGAGAGAGGAGUCAUCAUCCAAGUGACGUGGAUCAGUGGAUACACUUGUCUCCCAUUUAAAGGAGACAAUCCAAGUCAUCCUUAAAUAUGGGCAGGAUAUCAGUCUUGGACCGUCUAACCUCCCGGAGCAACACUGAAUGACCACCACACAUGAGCAUGUUCCUGCAACAUUCAGCAUCUGAUCCUUCAUCUGUGUGCUUCUGCUUUUGUGUCAAAUGUCAAACAGCUGGAGAGGAAACUACACCAGUGUACUGGGAUGUUUCAGCAACACGUGCCAGACGCUGUUCCUUCAUGGUGACAUCACCAGAGACAGCCCCACCCACCUCAGGACCUCGCCAUUGAUCAUGAUGAUUAUAAUGAUGACAGCGAGCGGAACUAAGACUGUAAA